UACGUAGGGGGGCAAGCGUUGUCCGGAUUUAUUGGGCGUAAAGCGCUCGCAGGUGGUUCGUCGCGUCGUGCGUGAAAGACCCCGGCUCAACUGGGGAGGGUCGUGCGAUACGGGCGGACUGGAGGCCAGUAGGGGGAUGCGGAAUUCCGGGUGUAGUGGUGGAAUGCGUAGAGAUCCGGGAGGAACACCAGCGGCGAAGGCGGCAUCCUGGAUGCC
rnacentral:rRNA from 1 species